rnacentral:misc_RNA from 1 species
AAGUCGUAACAAGGUCUCCGUUGGUGAACCAGCGGAGGGAUCAUUACAGAGUGUUCUAAACACCCUAAACCCCUGUGAACCUACCAGUCGUUGCUUCGGCGGGAUCGCCCCGGGCGCCUCACAGCGCCCCGGAACCAGGCGCCCGCCGGGGGAAACCAAACUCUUGUUUUUGUAUAGUGGCUUACUCUGAGUGGCUCCUAGCGAGCAAAAAAUGUCAAAACUUUCAACAACGGAUCCCUUGGUUCUG